rnacentral:rRNA from 1 species
GAUGAACGCUGGCGGCGUGCUUAACACAUGCCAGUCGAACGAAGCACUUUAUUUGAUUUCCUUCGGGACUGAUUAUUUUGUGACUGAGUGGCGGACGGGUGAGUAACGCGUGGGUAACCUGCCUUGUACAGGGGGAUAACAGUUGGAAACGGCUGCUAAUACCGCAUAAGCGCACAGCAUCGCAUGAUGCAGUGUGAAAAACUCCGGUGGUAUAAGAUGGACCCGCGUUGGAUUAGCUAGUUGGUGAGGUAACGGCCCACCAAGGCGACGAUCCAUAGCCGACCUGAGAGGGUGACCGGCCACAUUGGGACUGAGACACGGCCCAAACUCCUACGGGAGGCAGCAGUGGGGAAUAUUGCACAAUGGGCGAAAGCCUGAUGCAGCGACGCCGCGUGAGCGAAGAAGUAUUUCGGUAUGUAAAGCUCUAUCAUCAGGGAAGAUAAUGACGGUACCUGACUAAGAAGCACCGGCUAAAUACGUG